rnacentral:lncRNA from 1 species
CAACUCUUAAUAAUUAUAUUUAUUUUGUUCCGCGCCAAGAAUUCAAACUUGGUUUUAUAGCGAUUGAACAAGAAUAAAAUAUUCUCAAAAAUUAUCCAUUGAUACGACAUGCUGUUUUUUCCAUUCAUUCCUUUCAGGAUCAGUCGCAGUCUUACAAACUCUCCCGAAGAUUUGGACGAAUUCUUUGCUUCAUAGAAAUGUGUAAAAGAUGCUAGCCGUACUUAAAAGCCGAGUACUCUACCGUUGAGUUAGCAACCCAAAUAAUUCGAAUGGGUAGAUAGAAUCGGAAUAAAAAAAAAUAAAAAAAAAAAAAAAGGAAUUUCAAAACGGAAUCAAAAAAUGAAAUUAGCAAGAACUCGAAUCAAAAAAAUUUCUAAUCGAUUUUGAACAUAAGACAACCAAAACCUAUGGAACGGAGAUAAAUGGGCCCAUUUCUCCAUGAGAAAAUUAUAUUUGUUCACUACAAUAUUGUCAAUAUGACAUUGAAUAUUGAAUAGCAAGAUUGAGAAAAUACUAAAAACAUACAAUAACAAAAACAAAAAGAGUUAAUUGGUUAUUUAUUAAAUUGAAUUCAAAUCCAAAUAACAAAUCAAAUUAUAUAUUAAUAAAUAGAUAUAAUAAAUAUGGAAAUUAAUAAAUAAUAUCUAAAGAAUUAGAUAAAUAAAAAACUUUAAGAAUACUUUUUUAGAGUUUUAGAGAAAGACUUCAAAAAAAAAAAACCGAAAAGAAAUAGGUCUGAAUAGAACAAAAGGGGGAUAGUAAAGAAAAAAUUAUACAAAACUAGAUAAAGCGCAUCCACACCUCUUUUUUGUUCUAUUCCUUAAUAGAAUUUCGUUUGAUUAAGACUAACUUCUGUAAAAACC